CACACCAACGACUUCCAGCCGGAGUGUACCUGAAACCUUCUCUAGUUUUCACUGUGGAGCUUUCCUGCUCUCCUACUUGUCUUUGAGUCUCUGCCAAGAGCAGGCGAUGGUGGCUGAGCUCCUUGCCAUAGCAGGCUCUGCAUAAAUAGCCGCUGCUGCUCUUUGCUUGUGCCCACACUGGGUGGUCUUUGCUUGUGUCCACAUACUCCUCGCAAGGCUUGUGUCGGGUUAACCCGGUAGACACUGAACCUUGAGGAGUGUCACAGGCAAAGCCCCUGUGGCAGCAGGGCUUUUUCCACCAGGAGCCAUCGGAAAAUACCUGGCUAUUUCUGGAAGGAUGUCUAAGAGAAAACCCCCGCCUCCACAGCCCACACAUACCUAUCAGCCAGGAGGGCCCUGGGGCCCGGUGCCUUCCUCGAGGGUGCACAGCAGCCACAGCAGCAGCAGGAAGCCACAGGAAAAGAACUGGGCUGCGGAGUCCCAAUGGCUCAGUCUGUCCCAGCUCCACAUGGACAGUCUGUGGUGCCCGCCAGUUACCACCGCGAGCACUGAAGUCACUUUUCAGUGUGGUCACACAAACUCCACCGGGCCAGCCAGGGGUUAGAACGCUCAGGCGCAGUUGUCAAACCAAAGAAUUACGUGCCAGUGACUAGAAGUCAGGACUGCAGGGCUGGACUAUGUGCUUCAAAGACUGCUUGGGAUGCUUGAGGUGGGACUGAGUUUUGACUUGAAGACUUUUGAAAUCUUUGUGAAGAGAAUAGAAGACAUAUGGCGAACCAACAAUAAACCCAGAUUUUCAAGAGUCCCUAAGUGAGACUUGGGUUCUGCAAGAGCUACACUGCAUCACCUCCUUGGAAGCUGACACAGGAGUUGCCAUCAAUUUCUGUUUUCGAGCUAAGAUGUGUAAGCCCGGGGCUAUCUGCGAAGCUGGCCAGAGAAAACAUACGUAAAGUCUGAUACUUUUGAUCCUCUGACUCACUUGUGGACUGGACCACCUGUGGAUGAGUUUGAGUUACUUUCAGGGACAGAAGAUAUCUUUCUUUGACAACACAGCUCUCAUCACAGCUCUCAAGCUCUAACCCUUGGCAAGCAUCUGGUUUGUAUAAGGCCAGUGACACAAAACUACUGGAGUGUGGUCCUUGCCUUCCUGUCAGAGUCCUUCUCUCUUCUAAGGCCUGUCUUUCAAAUACAGCACAAUGUAGGCCUUUACAACAUAACAAUCACCUUUCUUCCCUUGAGUGAGAGUGAGGAAAAGAAAUGCCAACUCUAAUUUGCUAUCUCUCUUCUUUCUUUUUUCACCCCAGAUUAUUUAUCAAUCUAUUAUUCUAUUGACUUACAUACUUAUCUAUGAUUGAGGUAUAAGUGACAUACAAAAUUAUAUUAGUUUCAGGUAUAUAACAUAAUGAUUUGAUAUUUGUGUACAUUGCAACAUGAUAACUACAAUAAGCUUUUUUCUGAAAUAUACUUUAUUGUAAUGCUUAAUUAUAAAAUGUAAUAUGAAUAUUAUAAAUAUGUAACAAAUAACAAAAAUAAUGCUCAUUAUAAAA